AUGCUAUUGCACGAGGUGCACCUAGAUGAGCUCACUGAAGAUGACAUCCUAUGGAAGCACACGGAAUCUGGGCACUACUCCGCGGCCUCCGCUUACAGGGCACAAUUUUUUGGCUUGGUCCUCUCCCCCAUGGACCAAAUGGGUUGGAAGGCAUGGGCCCCAUCGAAAGUCAAGUUCUUUGCUUGGCUCGCGCUUCAGGAUAGGAUCUGGACUGCUGCAGAUUGGAGAAGCGAGGAUGGCCUAACUGUGGCCCUUGCCCCUUGUGCCGACGGGUGCAGGAAUGUGGCCCUCAUCUUUUCUUCAGAUGCCGCUUUACUCUCAGGCUUUGGAACAUGGCUAUUCAGAAAUUUCGCAUCCACGACAUGGACACGUCCACAUGGCACUUGUUCGACUCCGUUCAGGCCUGGUGGGCGAGCACAUGCACCACGGGCACCACCGACAGGAAAGUAA
rnacentral:rRNA from 1 species